rnacentral:lncRNA from 1 species
UUCCAGCAAGGUCUCCCUCCUCUCGCCAUCUCGUCUCUCCACUUCUCCAGGUACUCUUCUUUAUGUCUUUACUUGCUUUAAUUUAUGGAUAUCUAUACUAAUAAUUGAAUGAUCCAAGCUCUCAUUCGAUAUGUCCAAUAGGUAACAAUUAUAAAUCUGUACAUAAAUAAAAAAGGGCUAGCUACCUCUUUCAUCAGAACCUAGUACUUUGAAACAAAUUUAAGAAGAGCCAGAGUUCUGUUGGCUGACCAUAUAAUUAGGUCUUCUUCGUAUUGAAGACCAGACCUACCUCUCUUUCUCAAAAAUCUUGAAUUUAGUCAAACAACAACUUUGUUUCAUCAACAUGUCUAUGGUGGAGGUAAGAGUUCCAAACUUGGAUUGUGAAGGGUUUCCGUGGCUUCAGAUGAAGCUGUUGCUUCUCUUUUCAGUGAUGACAACCCACAUACAUGCACUAUCAUGUGAAAGAUUAAUCUUCAUGCCUUUCAGAUUUAAUUUGGAGCUACAUCUCCUAAAUUUUUGUAUACUUUUUUCGGAGAAGACCAGCGCUAGUGCUUAAAAAAAAAAGAUAUGUCCAAUAGCCAUUUCAGCUCCUUGUGUUUAUGAUUGUGUUCCAUCUGUCUUUAAUAACCAAUGUCUUUAUUCGCAUUCGUUUUCUUUUGUUGUUGCAGUGAUUCAUACAUGGCUGAAAAUAUACAAAGUGAUAAGGUGAUCAUGGGUGAAAGUGGGGCGUCUAAUUCAAAUGCAACAAGUGAAGCUCAAUCAAAUAUAUCCAAAAAAAAAAGAAAAAGGUCUGUUGUGUGGGAUCAUUUUACAGAAUUUAUUACUUCGGAAGGGAAUGCAAA